AGUGGGAUAGUUGGGUCAAAUGGUGAUUUCAUUCCAAGUUUUCUGAGGAACCUCCAUACUGCUUUCCAGAAUGGUUGCACCAAUUUACAGUCCCACCAUCAAU
rnacentral:pre_miRNA from 1 species